UACGUAGGAGGCGAGCGUUGUCCGGAAUUACUGGGCGUAAAGCGCGCGCAGGCGGUUAGUCGCAUCGGCGGUGAAAGCCCCCCGCUUAACGGGGGAGGGUCCGUCGAGAUGGACUGACUGGAGGCAGGGAGAGGGCGGUGGAAUUCCGGGUGUAGUGGUGAAAUGCGUAGAGAUCCGGAGGAACACCAGUGGCGAAGGCGGCCGCCUGGACCUGACCUGACGCUCAUGCACGAAAGCGUGGGGAGCAAACAGG
rnacentral:rRNA from 1 species